rnacentral:rRNA from 1 species
GUCUACGGCCACGCCACCCUGAACAAGCCUGAUUCCGUCUGAUCUCGGAAGCUAAGCAGGGUCGGGCCUGGUUAGUACUUGGAUGGGAGACCACCUAGGAAGACCAGGUGCUGUAGGCC